rnacentral:rRNA from 1 species
CAGUCGCCGCGGGAAUACGUAGGGGGCGAGCGUUGUCCGAAGUUACUGGGCGUAAAGAGCGCGUAGGCUGGUCUUUAAGUGAGUGGUGAAAGGUUCGGGCUCAACCCGGACACUGCCUUUCAUACUGGGGACCUUGAGUGUGGGAGAGGCGAGUGGAAUGGUCGGUGUAGCGGUGAAAUGCGUAGAUAUCGAUCGGAACACCCAUGGCGAAGGCAGCUCGCUGGCCUAACACUGACGCUGAGGCGCGAAAGCGUGGGGAGCAAACAGGAUUAGAUACCCCCGUAGACCCUGUCUCUUAUAC